CAUCAGUUGCCCCAAUAUGGAUAGAUGAAGAACUAAGAACUGCAGCUGAAUUAGAUUCAAUAGCAUCAGAAGAUAUAUCCAAUGUCCGAGAGGCUGCUUCAAAUCCUAUAUUGCCUGGAGUAGAUAAGUAGCCUGCAUUAUGUUGUUCCGAACCUGAACCAAAUGCACUAGCCAGACCAGUAGCACCAGAAGAAGACGAUAAGCCUGUAGGAAUAGAAUGUGAGCUCUGGCUAGAU
rnacentral:misc_RNA from 1 species